UUUCCGUAGGUGAACCUGCGGAAGGAUCAUUAUCGAACAAAAUGUGGGGGGCAUGCGAGGGCUGCCGCUGACCCAAAAGGCGUGCACGCGCGUGUGUGUCCUCUUGCAUAAUAAUCCAUCUCACCCUUUGUGCAACGCCUCUUCUGGACCCUUCGGGAUCAUCUCGGAGGGGGGCUCGCGUUUUCACUCAAACCCCCCUUUUAAAAGUGUAGAAUGACCACAUUUAUGCAAUCAAUACAACUUUCAACAACGGAUCUCUUGGCUCUC
rnacentral:misc_RNA from 1 species